UGAACCUGCGGAAGGAUCAUU
rnacentral:ncRNA from 24 species